CCAGUAUCCCCAGUGCCAACCACUUCACUUUCACCCACAUCUGUGCCUUACACCUUCUCCAGCUCCCCAUUCCUCACCUGCAGAAGCCAUCCAUGCUACAGCACUGUGAGGUUGUACGGGAUCUGGAGGCAGGUCAGGGGGAGGAGAGGCCAAAGGUGGGCUAUGGGGUCCCUGGGAUGGUGAUGGGGGUCCUGUCAAGGGACCAUGGGGGUCAGUGAGUUCCCAGGGGGGAUCUUGGAGGUGUAAAGGAGGUCUGAGGGAGGAAAUAGGAGGAUUCCGGGGAAGCCCAGUGGGGGACAUGGGGUGCUGCUGGGGACUGUGGGGCUCCAUGUGGGUAUGGGCCAGCUACGGGGGAGGUGUACUGGGUCUGAGGGGGUCCUGAGGGGCUCCAGGGCUCUGUGGGGGGCUACAGGGUGUCUCUAGGGGUCUUGCUGGGAAACACUGGGAGGGAUAUUGGGGCUCUGAGGGAAUGAUGGGUGGGCUGUCAUGAGAAAGGAAAGGGCAGCCUUGGGGAAAGCAAGGGGACAGCUGGGGGAAGAACAGGGGAACGUCCCAGCAACGGACUUCUUCUUUCACAUCCACAUCUUCUGCUUCCCAACUGAGCUGCAAAGCUGCCAGAGGAGCUGCAGUACCGCUGCCCGACUCCUGCCUGUGUCAGAAAGAGCUGCACGUGAGCAGAGUGCAAUUGCCAUUCUAAAGCCAACUCCAUCACUGCAGUCACAAAACCACAACCUUCAGUAUCUGCUACAGGCAGACGACCAUGCCCUUGCACAGGAACCAUUCCUACAGAGCAAGCGAAGUCCUUCACUGCCUCAGGACGUGAGGAACACAGGAAGGGCCCCAAAGCCUUCAGCACAUGCCAUGGAGCCACCAAAGUUGGCAGCUAAACACACCUUCUCCUUCACGAAUGAGCAAGACCAAUCAAUGCACCCUGCUGCUGCAGAGGGCUGCGCUGCAUCUCCUGGUGCCACCCUUGGGCUGUCAUCGCGCUGCCCACCCACAGCGCACUUUGAAGCGCCGCAGCCUUGCAAGAAAGAACAGAGAGCAAGGAGCUCUGCCGUGCACUUGCUGUGAGAACACAGAGAGGAGCCGUACAGCCCUUGCUCUCAGCAC
rnacentral:lncRNA from 1 species